UGUAAUGCCAUUGGUUCAUACUGAGGUAGCUGAAUCGUGAUUGGUGUAAAGUAGUUCAUGUCCCGCCCCUGGCGCAGGUUAGGGAGACGCGCUGUGAGAAGUACACAGAGCGAUAGCAUGAAGAGAGCAGAGACACGGACGACACGGAGAUGCAUAAAAAUUGUUAAAACAUUUAAUAUUGUGUUACAUUAUUAAAAAGAGAAGCAGUUCGAGUCGGCAAAUGUCUGGUGAACCACUGUGAGCGACCCCGGGGACCUUACCUGUGUUUAAUCUUUUCUUUUCUCGGCUGGGUUUUUUGAUACCCUGGAUUCUGGAUUGAGGUGGAUUCUCUCCCUGACGAGGGGGAUGGAGAGCCAACCGUGUGAGCAUCUGGAUUGAACAGGACCUUCUUCAUUCUUCAUCAUUUGUCCUAUCAGUGUGGCUGCUGAGAUCAAGAACUGCCGGGUGAGAUGCUGUGAUGUGCAUUUUGGGGUUUUUAGUAUCAACAACUUCACUUCAGGCCUUCUUCAGCUUUGCAGGUUAGAUGGCAAUCACUGUACUAGAAUCCUCCCCAGGAAGUAUGGUGUGCAGUUACUGAUCUCAACAGCAUGGAAGUUAUUAGUAAGAAGCAUGGCAAUUACUCAAAGGUAAUAGCUCUGAGAUAUUUUUUGGUGUGUCAAACUGUAUUUAACACAGCCAAGGACCCGCAAGAUCAUGAUAAUGCUGAGUGAACCAGGAGUGACAAUAUAUCACCAAAUGGUAGGGUACAGAAUUAAGUGUUUCUGGGUUAAAAGCCCUGUCCUCCAGUUGGUUUUAAAAGAACACAUUAAUGGGGCAAAUCUAAGAUCAGGAGGUAAACUGUUUUAGGUGCAUAGAUGCUAAAAGCCAUCUCCUACACUUUGAAAAUGCUCUAGGCACAUGGAGAUUUCCAACUUGUGAUCUGCUGGGAUUGUAAACUGUCUGGGACGUACUGUGAAGCCAGACCAGUAAGUGCAUAGACCAGGAGGAGGAUUUUUUAAAAUUGUAUUCUAAAAACAACAAGUAGCCAGGGAAGGUUUUAGAGAAGAGAGUCAUGUGGUCAGAUUUUUGGCUGGACCGUAGCAGUACUGACACUGACCGAGUGAUAGAGUUGAGUUUUACCAUUAAACCUUUGGUCAGCUGAAUACCAUGUGACGGUAGUCAUGAAGUUACACCAUUGGUCUGUUGACUUGUUGUGACUGGUCUGGACUCCAGAUAUCCACAGAUCAGGGGUCUCUGUUGCUGUUUUCUCCCCGUUCAGCUGAAUGAAGUUUUCUGUCCUCUGUGGUUAAUUUUUUCCAAGCAGCUGACUAGGGAGUGUAUGAGCCCUAUCUUUCACCUGGCAUAAAGCGCAACUCAAGUGUCUUUGCUAGUUUGAAAGUUGAAAUUUUUCCUUCCAGUGCACACAUUGUUUAAAUAACCAGUUGUUUCAAUUGACCAACAAAAACCUGGUCUUAAGUAAAUGGCACAAUAUUUCGCCAUUAUUUUAAGGGCACAUUGUCAAUAUGCACCUACAUAGGUGGGUUCUCAGCGUGCCUGUUUAGCACAAGCAGAAUGUUCUGAAAAUGAGCUUCAGAUGUUUGAUAUUUAGUCAGGUGGAACAUUAGAAUUCACCCACAGAAGGUCAGAGCAUUCCUUGUCGGUACAGAUAAUUUAUAUAACAUUUGUUUAAGCUGUAUUAAAGUAAUGUGAAAAAAAAUGAAAUCAUACUUUAUCAGGACUUUACAGUGAAUCUUAGUGUCUGUUAUUUCUUUUUUCCCCCAGAUGCACCAAGGAUCCAGCUGAUUACUGGCAAUUUGAAGGUGUAUUUUUCUUCAUCUGCUUUGUUGCACUGUCACUUCUGGUAUAGAUUCAGUGACCUUUGUGCUAUGUUUUGAUUUUACUUUUUAAUACACUGUAUAGUUGGGAUUCUGACAUAAAAGAUAGUAUAAUGUUUGUCCACAUAUGUUGUUGGAACUAUAUCGAGAAUAUUGUGGAAAACAAGAUAAAACUGAAUUGGAAAAUACAAGCUAAGAAACAGCAGACCACAACCCCCUCAGCUCCACAGCACCCCUCUUUCAGAGGUGAAAUCAUGAACUCCUCAUUAUAGUAACCCUAACAGGCAUGAUAUACCAAUGGAGAAAUGCUAGUUUUAGUAUUUCAAAUCAUUCUUGGGGGCUCUGAAGAACUAUUUGUGAAUAAUUGGUUGAUAUUGUAAAUUUACAUCUGAAUAUAUUAAAUAAAAGUGUUAUAA